rnacentral:rRNA from 1 species
GAUGAACGCUAGCUACAGGCUUAACACAUGCAAGUCGAGCGGCAGCGGGAAGUAACUUGUUACUUUGCCGGCGAGCGGCGGACGGGUGAGUAAUGGCUGGGAACCUGCCCUAACGAGGGGGAUAACAGUUGGAAACGACUGCUAAUACCGCAUAAUGUCUUCGGACCAAAGAAGGGGAUCUUCGGACCUUUCGCGUUGGGAUGAACCCAGGUGGGAUUAGCUAGUUGGUGAGGUAAUGGCUCACCAAGGCGACGAUCCCUAGCUGGUCUGAGAGGAUGAUCAGCCACACUGGAACUGAGACACGGUCCAGACUCCUACGGGAGGCAGCAGUGGGGAAUAUUGCACAAUGGGGGAAACCCUGAUGCAGCCAUGCCGCGUGUGUGAAGAAGGCCUUCGGGUUGUAAAGCACUUUCAGCGAGGAGGAAAGGUUGGUAGCUAAUAACUGCCAGCUGUGACGUUACUCGCAGAAGAAGCACCGGCUAACUCCGUGC